CAGGGCGAGGGCGGCGGUGAUUCCCCCGCCGGCGCUGGCUCCGCCGAUGGCGAUGCGUCCGACGUCGAUGUGCAGUUCGUCCGCGUGGGC
rnacentral:tRNA from 1 species